AAACAUACUUUAAUAAUAAUUCCAACUUUGUAUUUGGGAAAUAGGAAAAUAUUAUAUCUUCGUAGAAAUUCUUAAAAAAAAAUGAAUCUUGAAGCUUUUACUUUAAAGAUUUCUAUGGAAACAAAUUUCCCUUUCAUUUCUUUCAGAAUACCUUGCUUUCUAUUUUUCAAACUUUUAUAUUUCUCAUUAUGUAUAAAUAUUAUGAUUAUGCAUAGAGGCACAUAUGUAAUCAAGAGCACAUACAAAGUUUCGAAGAGCCUAUUGAUAACCACAAUCAGUUAGCUGGGAUGCGAUUAGAAUUUAGAAGCCAUGCUUCAAAGAAACUUGCAACUACUUAUUGGACCAAGCUCUUGAAGGCUAUUGCUUGUCCCGUUACACUGAAAGCCUAUCGCAGAACAAAAAUCUUCAAAAUUGGGAGGAGAAACUAUGGUGAGAACGGACAAGUUGGCAGAGAUGAAAGUUGAAAGCUCACCGCUGGAGAAUAAAUGUUGACAGUAGACUACCCAUUCGGCUUGCCAAUAAUAUGUGACACGAGACCAUAUUAGCCAUAGUCUGGCCACAAAUGGGAAACUAAUAUACUAUCUAAUCAAAUAUGAAAGAUCCUUGUUAAGUCUCCCUUUUGUGAAGACCGAGUUUUAAAUAAGAUAAUCAAGAUUACACUCGAAUCUAAGGUAAGAUUACACGUUAAACAAAAGUUUGAACCUCCUCAGCAAAAUUUAUUAGCCACAAAAAAAUAUAUCCCUCUGGCCUCUCUUAAGUUGAAUAAAUGACUAAUUCUAUAUCAUUAUAAUGAUAACCAAAUAUAAAUAAAUCUCGGCACAUUUACGGCAUCAAUUUGAGCCGAAUU